GACGAACGCUGGCGGCGUGCUUAACACAUGCAAGUCGAACGGAAAGGCCUGCUUUCCCUUGUGGAUUGCGGGUACUCGAGUGGCGAACGGGUGAGUAACACGUGAGUGAUCUGCCCCCAACUUGGGUAUAAGCCUGGGAAACUGGGUCUAAUUCCCGAUAGGACUGCAGGGUGGUGCCUGUGGUGGAAAACGAUUUUCUAGUGGUUGGGGAUGAGCUCGCGGCCUAUCAGCUUGUUGGUGGGGUGAUGGCCUACCAAGGCGGCGACGGGUAGCCGGCCUGGGAGGGUGGACGGCCACAUUGGGACUGGGAUACGGCCCAGACUCCUACGGGAGGCAGCAGUGGGGAAUAUUGCACAAUGGGCGGAAGCCUGAUGCAGCGACGCGGCGUGGGGGAUGACGGCCUUCGGGUUGUAAACUCCUUUCGACCGCGAGGAAGCCACCUGGUUGGAAGGGUGGUGACGGUAGUGGUAGAAGAAGCACCGGCUAACUACGUG
rnacentral:rRNA from 1 species